rnacentral:rRNA from 1 species
UACGUAGGGUGCGAGCGUUAAUCGGAAUUACUGGGCGUAAAGCGUGCGCAGGCGGUCUGUUAAGACCGAUGUGAAAUCCCCGGGCUUAACCUGGGAACUGCAUUGGUGACUGGCAGGCUUUGAGUGUGGCAGAGGAAGGUAGAAUUCCACGUGUAGCAGUGAAAUGCGUAGAGAUGUGGAGGAAUACCGAUGGCGAAGGCAGCCUCCUGGGCCAACACUGACGCUCAUGCACGAAAGCGUGGGGAGCAAACAGG